GACAAACAUCUAACAACUAUUUCAUAACUUUUGAUAUGCUUUUAUCAAUUCCUCCACUAUUUUAUCAAUUCUGAUAUUAUUUCAUGACAUCCGAUGCCACUAUUUUAUGACUUCCUCCACUAAUUUAUGACUUCUAGCACUGUUUCCUAUUUGAUUCACCAUUUUAUGAACUCUAUCAAUAUUUUAUGACUUCCGACACUGAUUCAUGACUUUCAACAUUCUUUUAUGACUUUUUAUUCUAUUUUAUGACUUUCUUCACUCUUUCAUGACAUCCGACAAUG
rnacentral:lncRNA from 1 species